AUGGGAAUUUAAACCCCUUUCAGAGUAACAAUUGGAGGGCAAGUCUGGUGCCAGCAGCCGCGGUAAUUCCAGCUCCAAUAGCGUAUAUUAAAGUUGUUGCAGUUAAAAAGCUCGUAGUUGGAUGUCUGCUGGAAGCAAUCAGUCCGCCCUAUUUGUAGGGUGUGCACUUGAUGAAUUCUGGCAUUUUUGUCCCAAUGAUGUAACGGGGCGGUGGUAUUCGGUGAAAGCCGAGUAUCCUGUUUUCCGAUUAUUGGGAUACUGUUACUUUGAGAAAAUUAGAGUGUUUGAAGCAGGCUAAUUGCCUUGAAUACUGCAGCAUGGAAUAACAAUAUAGGAUUUCGGUUCUAUUUUGUUGGUUUCUAGGACUGAAAUAAUGAUUAAUAGGGACAGUUGGGGGCAUUCGUAUUUAACUGUCAGAGGUGAAAUUCUUAGAUUUGUUAAAGACGAACUACUGCC
rnacentral:rRNA from 1 species